GGCUUAGAGUUUGAUCAUGGCUCAGGACGAACGCUGGCGGCGCGCCUAACACAUGCAAGUCGAACGGGGUUGAGAGGAGCUUGCUUUUCUUGACUUAGUGGCGAACGGGUGAGUAACGCGUGAGGAACCUGCCUCAAAGAGGGGGACAACAGUUGGAAACGACUGCUAAUACCGCAUAAGCCCACGGUCUCGCAUGGGACAGAGGGAAAAGGAGCAAUCCGCUUUGAGAUGGCCUCGCGUCCGAUUAGCUAGUUGGUGAGGUAACGGCCCACCAAGGCGACAAUCGGUAGCCGGACUGGGAGGUUGAACGGCCACAUUGGGACUGAGACACGGCCCAGACUCCUACGGGAGGCAGCAGUGGGGAAUAUUGCACAAUGGGGGAAACCCUGAUGCAGCGACGCCGCGUGGAGGAAGAAGGUCUUCGGAUUGUAAACUCCUGUUGUUGGGGAAAAAGAGGAUGGUACCCAACAAGGAAGUGACGGCUAACUACGUGCCAGCAGCCGCGGUAAAACGUAGGUCACAAGCGUUGUCCGGAAUUAUUGGGUGUAAAGGGUGCGUAGGCGGGAUGUAAAGUCAGAUGUGAAAUGCCGCGGCUCAACCGCGGAGCUGCAUUUGAAACUUAUGUUCUUGAGUGAAGUAGAGGUAAGCG
rnacentral:rRNA from 1 species